GUAGGGAAUAUUGGGCAAUGGUCGGAAGACUGACCCAGCCAUGCCGCGUGCAGGAAGACGGCCCUCUGGGUUGUAAACUGCUUUUAUCUGGGAAGAAAAAGGCCAUGCGUGGCAAAUUGCCGGUACCAGAUGAAUAAGCACCGGCUAACUCCGUGCCAGCAGCCGCGGUAAUACGGAGGGUGCGCGCGUUGUCCGGAUUUAUUGGGUUUAAAGGGUGCGUAGGCGGCUGAUUGAGUCAGCGGUGAAAGACUUCGGCUUAACCGGAGCAGUGCCGUUGAUACUGGUUGGCUUGAGUGUCGGAGGGGUACAUGGAAUUGAUGGUGUAGCGGUGAAAUGCAUAGAUACCAUCAGGAACACCGAGAGCGAAGGCAUUGUACUGGCCGACAACUGACGCUGAUGCAAGAAAGUGUGGGGAUCGAACAGGAUUAGAUACCCGGGUAGUCC
rnacentral:rRNA from 1 species